rnacentral:tRNA from 1 species
GGCCCAGUAGCUCAGUGGUAGAGCAGUCGACUCAUAAUCGAUUGGUCGCUGGAUCGUUCCCAGCCUGGGCCA